GGAAAGGACGUCUCAUAGGCGGUAGAUUGAAUUUUUGUGUAAGGGGCUAAUGCAGUAAAAAUAAAUAAAUAUGUCUAUGGACAUUUUGGGUGAUGAUGUUUGGGAGUACAAUGCUCCACAAUACGUUGACUUUGCAGCUGGUGAAGAUGACCCAAACGCAGAUGCAUGGUUUGAUCGACAAAAUGAGGUAGGGAACACAAUUCCCUUAAUCAAUGAUGUAACUUGUGCAUCCACUCCUGAGGCUCGUCGCUUGACAAGGUCUAUGUGUGCAACUCCUAAGCCAGCCUCUACCGAUGGGAGAGGACGCUCUUCCUCCCAAGAAAACUAAACCUGUCACCAUACCUGAGCCCUUCCAGCUGGAACUCGAUGAGAGGGGAGUCAAAAGACUGCAGGAAUUUAGUCAAAAGGUUGAAGAAGAAAACACACAUUUGAAAGAACAAGCCAAAUUUCGAGCCAACCCAGCCAAAGUGCUGCAUCAGGAACCAUUCUGUCCUGCCAAAUCAUCAAAGCCUCUCACAGACAUAAGUGGAUUUGAGUUGAACACUGAGCAAAGAUCGCACAAAAGAGAGAAUUUUGAAAUGCACAAAAAGGCCAGAGAAGCCGAAAUAGAAGCAGCCAAGCGACAGAGAGAAAGACAAAAAGAGGAGGAGGAAAAAGCCUAUGUUGCUAAGGUGAGGGCAGAAGCUGUGCACAAAUCCCAGCCAAUCAAACGUUUUAAAUCCGUGGAAGUCCUGCCCAGUGACAGACCAUUGACAUUUGCAGAGUCGCCAAAGUUCGAAACAGACCGCAGACUGAGAAGCAAAGUUAAUUGCUUCUAAAUUGUUUUUCUCUUUUAUACUGGUGAAAAUAUGUACAUUUACAAUGAAUGUGUAAAAAACGAUGCUGAAAAUUUUAGCUGUAAAUUCACUUCCAUGUUUUUAAGUGCACAAAUUGUGCUUUUAAUAUUCCAUUCAUUUUAAAGGGAAAAAAAUGGUUAUUGUUUUGUUGUUGAUGAGGCUAGAGACUUGUGAUGUACAGUAUCAUACAUGUACCUUGUACUGAUGAAAUCUAAAUCUUCUAUCUCGCUCUUAAUUUUAUCUUACUGUCAUUUCUCUAUCUAAUGUUCACAUGUAUUUCGUUUUUUCAUUGGUUUUUACUCAUUAACAAUGCCAUACAUAUUCUUCAUAUUAGAUUAAAUUCAAUAUACAUGUACUAGUAGAUUAUUGAGUGUACUAACUUAUAUGUUUAGGAUUUCAGGCAAUAUUAAAGUUACUUUUCAAAUGCAUAUCUGCAUGGGAUUUUUUUUCAACACCACAAAGAAACUUUUUCUUUUGUGUUGACAAUACAUGUUUAUUAAUUGCUCUUUAUGUUCGAUUUAAUUUAAUUUUGACUUCAUAGAUAUGUAUGCAUUUUUUUCAGACAGAAGCAAACAAUUAUAAUUAGUUGUGUAUAAAUGUAGAAAUUGAUUAAAUUACUUCUUUUUACCUUUUAAUCAAUGUUGAGUGCUUGCAUAUGCAUGUGCCCUAGAUGAUGUGCAACUGGCUUUUAACACAAGGAUUACAAAUAAUUCAAUUAGGGGCUUGAUUAAAAGAGAGCAGAUUAGAAAGAGGAACUUGUGGUGUCUGAUUUUAUUCCUGUACAUUUAUAUAUAUCUUUUUUUUCUUUUAUGCAAACAUGUAGUUUUCACUGGUGUAUUGUCAUUUCGAUAUCUUAUGCAAAUGUAAGACGAUUUAUAUGAAUAAACGAGUGGAUUAAAU
rnacentral:misc_RNA from 1 species